GACGAACGCUGGCGGCGUGCUUAACACAUGCAAGUCGAACGGAAAGGCCCCUUUGGGGGUACUCGAGUGGCGAACGGGUGCGUAACACGUGAGUAACCUGCCCUUGACUUCGGGAUAACUUCAGGAAACUGGGGCUAAUACCGGAUAGGAAUCCUUGCUGCAUGGUGGGGGUUGGAAAGCUUCGGCGGUUUUGGAUGGACUCGCGGCUUAUCAGCUUGUUGGUGGGGUAGUGGCUUACCAAGGCUUUGACGGGUAGCCGGCCUGAGAGGGCGACCGGCCACAUUGGGACUGAGAUACGGCCCAGACUCCUACGGGAGGCAGCAGUGGGGAACAUUGCACAAUGGGCGGAAGCCUGAUGCAGCAACGCCGCGUGCGGGAUGACGGCCUUCGGGUUGUAAACCGCUUUCAGCAGGGGCGAAGCUUGUGGUGACGGUACCUGCAGAAGAAGCACCGGCUAACUACGUG
rnacentral:rRNA from 1 species